AGCUUGUGGAUAUCAAUCACGUAUCACAAAAUGGCGAAAUAUAUUUUUGCGUUGGUCGUAAUUUUUUAUAUUGGUGUUAUUAUUGAAGGAGCGAAUUUAACAAGUGAAAAAGAAAUUAAUUUCAAAGAUAAUUUUUCAUCGCUCAACUUUGACAUGAAACGCACUUUGAAAGUUGUUCAAAGAAAUGUAACAUUAAAGACUCAAAUUGCAUUAA